AUUGAACGCUGGCGGCAGGCCUAACACAUGCAAGUCGAACGGUAACGGGAAGAAGCUUGCUUCUUUGCUGACGAGUGGCGGACGGGUGAGUAAUAUCUGGGAAACUGCCUGAUGGAGGGGGAUAACUACUGGAAACGGUAGCUAAUACCGCAUAACGUCGCAAGACCAAAGAGGGGGACCUUCGGGCCUCUUGCCAUCGGAUGUGCCCAGAUGGGAUUAGCUAGUAGGUGGGGUAACGGCUCACCUAGGCGACGAUCCCUAGCUGGUCUGAGAGGAUGACCAGCCACACUGGAACUGAGACACGGUCCAGACUCCUACGGGAGGCAGCAGUGGGGAAUAUUGCACAAUGGGCGCAAGCCUGAUGCAGCCAUGCCGCGUGUAUGAAGAAGGCCUUCGGGUUGUAAAGUACUUUCAGCGGGGAGGAAGGGAGUAAAGUUAAUACCUUUGCUCAUUGACGUUACCCGCAGAAGAAGCACCGGCUAACUCCGUG
rnacentral:rRNA from 1 species